AAAUAGAACUUUGCAGAGAGAGUUAACAGGGCGUGAAACCGUUGAUUGGCAAACGAAUCGGAGCCACGAAGUCGUUUCGUUGUUUAGUCUGGAUCAGGUUCAGCCGGGGUCGCGAGGCCCCGGUGUAGUCCUGGGUCCGGCCAAACCUUGUAAGCGUACACUGCAACCAGUUAGACGAUCAGCCGUGGGCAUAGCGCUGUGGGCGUUAGUAGUAGUGCGGUUGCGCUUCGGCGUUUCUCGUGUUGCUGGCCGCCCAUGAGUGAGCUACGGCUGAAUACUGACUGGCGAAAUGAAAACCGCGCCUUGCGCGUCAGAGACAACGCGUCCGUCGCAUGUGGGCCUACGCGGUCGACUGUUAGGUCUAAGCUUGGCGUUUUUGAAUUCAGACUUGCUCGCUACCAGUGGGGCAACCCCUGGUGCUUGUACAGCUUCUGUCUAAUCGGGCGUCGACUUGGCUUGGCAUCGUUCGGCUGUGCGUCGAUAGGGCUCGCAUGUGAGCGGGUCCGCAAUGUGAAUUGGCAGUGAGUAGGUCGGCUUUCCGAACGACCCGUCUUGAAACACGGACCAAGGAGUCUAAUUAGGCAUCGAGUCGAUCGGUCUUGAAUAGGCCAGACUGGUACCCCUGCGCCGACUGAAGGCGUAGAGAAAUCGUGUGAUCGGGGGGCAAAACAGCCGCUGCGCGCAACAUGUGCCUGUUCGUAUAGCAAUGCAGCAAUGUUGCUGGGCGGAGCAGAGAGAUGCCUGAUUGGGACCCGAAAGAUGGUGAGCUUGGGCAAAUUGAAGCCAGAGGAAACUCUGGUGGAGGAUUGUAGCGAUUCUGACGUGCAAAUCGAUCGUCAGACCUGAGUAUAGGGGCGAAAGACUAAUCGAACCAUC
rnacentral:rRNA from 1 species